GUAAAACUUUAUGUUUUAUUUUUUAAUUUUUUGUAUGUGUGGCUACCAUUUCAACUAAAACUUAGGGUGGGAACCUAUCUGAGGAUCUUUUUUAAAGCUGGAUACCUUAUAGAACUUGUAAAAUAAAAAUCUUUUUUUCUUUUACAAUCUUUUACAAUUUUUCUUUUACAAUCUUUUAAAAAGGGAUCUAUAUCACUUAAAUCCUCAAAAAAAGGUUAUAUCAUGAGGGAAUAGAAGAAAUACUUUCUGUUGACAUAAACAGUAAUUGAUAAGGUUUUCUUGAAUACUUUUAUAGAAAUGCUGAUGUAUUACACUUAAGAUUACUAGUUAGCUCUCAUUUCCUUUCAACUUUUGCCUCUGGAUAAGCUCAACUAUUCCCAGGAAGAAACAGUGAUCAAGUACAUUUGUCAUGCGAGCAGCUAUAAUAAGGUAAUUCAUCAUAAUCUGUCAGAGUUUUAUUCUAGAAAGACUGCUACAUUUUUUUUCUUACUUAAAAAUCUGCUGUCACUCCUGUUGAAAAUUUGGUAGACAUUUUGGACAUGUUUAAAAGCCCUUCCAAACUGAUAGUUGCAGAUAAUUAAGUUAUUGGCUAUCAAAGAUUCUUUUUCUCUUUUUCUUUUUCUUUUUUUUUAACAAUAUAUAUGACACUAUGAACCCUUCUAGCUAGUUUAAUCUGACCUGUUCACAGAGCAUGAUCCCUCAUUCCCUUUCCUUUUUCCUCCUUAAGAGUAGCCAACGACCAAAGUAAUUCACAAUGACAAAUGAAGCCUUUCUCAAGAGUCUAAUUGAGCAAUUUUGUUUUCCUUUGCAAGACCUGAAAUCUACAGCAUUCUGAACUCCAUUCACUGAAGUGGCAAGAGAUAGUGGUCAGAAGGAAACUAGGUGGAUUAAGGGGUUUCUAGAAAACAAGUAAAUAAACUCUACCUAGGUGUGACAUCUUACAUCUCAGUAAUAUUUCAAUUCAUCUACUCAAUUACUUACUCCGUGUAUCCUUUACUUUAAGCCAUUUUUAAUAAAGUUUCAUUGUGAUGUGUACUUUAUUGAAUCCUAAAGUCUCAGUCACUACUCUCUCAUUCUUUUGUAAUACUUCCUGCAUUUUUUCAGCGUUUAAAUUCAUGCUUUCUUAGAAGAAGAAUUAUAUUAGUCUUUUCUCUAGCCAAUUGUGUGAUAUCCUUUUGUACUACCUUAGAGAUAGACUGUGUUUGGCUUAAGGACAAGAAAGGAGAUAUAAUAAAUGUUUUAAUUGGCUUUUCAAAAAAUUUACAUUAUUCUCAUACAAUGUACAUUUUAUACAUUAACUGAUUAUCAAACCCAAGAGCAUGUUCUCAUUGGUAGCAACCACUGGCAAAGUAUUAAACGAAGAUAUACAUAUAUGUGCAUAUUCAAAUAUAUAUGUGCGUAUAUAUACAUGUAUGUAAUGUUUUAAUGACUGCUAAAUACAAAAGAAUAUGUAAAUACAUAUUGAAGUAUAAAUUAUGAUAUAAAUAUAUUGUUAUUCUCUUCUAGUAAUUUGAAUUUAAGUUGUCUGGUGUCAUAUAUUUUCAAGCUAACUGGUAAUAAUAUUUUUAAAAAUUCAUACAACGUUAGGUCUCUUACAAUUCUUUAUUCUCUCAUUCCAAAAUAUUUAUUGAGUACCUGCUGUGUUGAUAAUACUAUUUCAUCUCAAGGAAGGCUUGGUAAAUUCCUGUGAAAAAUGUUAUUUUUCCUAACUUAACAAAGGAUGGAAGCAUAGGUGAAAAUGGUUUACUCUGCAUCAGGUAGGCAUUUACACAAAAUCUAAGGCUUAAGUGUCAUUCUGCUCAAUCUUUUCUCUAAUAUUUAAGGAGAAGAUACUUAAAACUUUUAAAGUCAUUGACAUUUAAUACCAAUCUUUCAAGUAAAAUAGAUGUUACAUUAUCCUAAUCACCACAUUUUAAUUAUUUUAUUUGCUUUGACCAAAUCAUUAAAGGCUUGAUAUAAAGAUGUGCAAAUAAGUAAAACUGAAUUGAAAUCAUUAUAUGAGUACUUCAGAUUUUUGGUUGGUAAUCUGAAAACAACUGGUGACAUUCGUUUAUAUUUUAAUAAAUUUAAAUGUAAUGG
rnacentral:lncRNA from 1 species